rnacentral:rRNA from 1 species
ACGUACACUCCUGCGGGAGGCAGCAGUGGGGAAUAUUGCACAAUGGGCGCAAGCCUGAUGCAGCCAUGCCGCGUGUAUGAAGAAGGCCUUCGGGUUGUAAAGUACUUUCAGCGGGGAGGAAGGCAAUACGGUUAAUAACCGUGUUGAUUGACGUUACCCGCAGAAGAAGCACCGGCUAACUCCGUGCCAGCAGCCGCGGUAAUACGGAGGGUGCAAGCGUUAAUCGGAAUUACUGGGCGUAAAGCGCACGCAGGCGGUCUGUCAAGUCGGAUGUGAAAUCCCCGGGCUCAACCUGGGAACUGCAUUCGAAACUGGCAGGCUUGAGUCUUGUAGAGGGGGGUAGAAUUCCAGGUGUAGCGGUGAAAUGCGUAGAGAUCUGGAGGAAUACCGGUGGCGAAGGCGGCCCCCUGGACAAAGACUGACGCUCAGGUGCGAAAGCGUGGGGAGCAAACAGGAUUAGAUACCCGUGUAGUCCC